rnacentral:lncRNA from 1 species
AUCGACCUUGCUGCAACUCCUCGCAGCGUCAACGCCUCAACUCCUCGAAGCGUCCACCGAAUCCUCGGCUUCGCGCGAGAUCCACGCGCCGAACCUCCUUCCGGAGCUUAGGUGUCGAGCUUUCCGAAUGAGUCUUCGUUCUCUAAUUUGAAUUUCUUUUCAAAAUCUUCUGCGAUCAACUCUUCAAGACUCCAAACAACUUUACGAAAUUCGCCAACCUAUAAAAUCCUUAACAGAGGUAUUUAUGUGUAAAAGUUGAAUGGUGUAUUUACUAAUCGUUAGUAAAUAAUAUGAGGACUUAUGUGUAAAUGUUACACACGAAUCGAAUUAGAAUUAGGAU